GGCAUGGUGGCUCAGUGGUUAGCGCGCCCGCCUCACAAACGGGAGGUCGUGGGUUCGAUCCCCGGCCGAGUCA
rnacentral:tRNA from 1 species